UUAAUUAGCAUGUUGUGCUAAAGGACAGUGUGUUAGAUGCCCAGGAGCACCUUGGCAGUUGAACAACUUCCUUUGUGUUGGUAUACAUGUAACUACGUGUGUAGUGUUAGCUGCUGGCAUGAGAGACCCGAUCUGAGAGUACCAAAACGUUAUCUGCAGUAAAGCAAUCACUACUUUGUUUUGGAGCCGGAGACAGGGGUUACCUGCCAUAUGUCUGCUGUGCUGUGCUACGAUUAACGUUAGUUAUAUGCAGGCAUGGACACAAAAAAGUUGCUUCGCAAAUGUGUAUUGCUCGCUUACUAAAUCUAAUGUGAAAUGAGGGAUUUGCAUGGGUUUGCUCAGAUUAUGAUUUGCCAGAUUUUGCCUUAUCAAAUUGAUUUUUUAAUCAUCAUUUCUGUCUACAUAGCUUUGUUUCAUGUAACAUGAGAAAACAGACACAUAACAUAUUACUUCCUUUUGUGUUUAGCCAAGCACAUCUGGGCGGUGCAUCAUGUCGCCUGCCAGACAGACCAACCAGUGACAUGCACAGUUGGCACACAGCUUUCCAUGAGAACUCUCCAGCCUCACUUCAGAAGCACAGGCACACAGAAAUCAGUGUCCUGUGCUGAUGUUGGAGUUGGCACCUCAACCAUUGCCUUCUCAACUUCUCAACCAUUCUUAUCAUCAACCCCACUAGACUGGAGCCUUCCUGCCCUGUUCAUAAGACACCAACAUAGAUUGUCUAUGAAAAGUGUCUGAUGGAGCUGUUUGAGGUGUGCCCUGUCUGUCAGCGUGUUUCAGACGUGCAGACAAGAAGGAUAGGCACGUUCCUCUCUGUAGAACAGACAUGCCCACAUUGUCAGUUCUUCAGAAAAUGGAACAGCCAGCCAAUUCUGGGAAGCACACCUGCAGGAAACCUCCAGCUUUCAGCUGCAGUAUACACCACAGGUGCAUCUUUCUUCAAACUUGAAAAGAUCUUCCAGGCAGUGCAGCUGAAGAUGUUUCAGUAUGACACUUUUCGCCGUCAUGCACGGACCUACAUAGAGCCUGCCAUCAUACACACGUGGAAGACUGUGCAGGAUGCCAUGAUGGAGCAGCUUAGUCAGUAGGAGAGUGUUAUCCUAGGUGGCGACCUAAGG